rnacentral:rRNA from 1 species
GAUGAACGCUGGCGGCGUGCCUAAUACAUGCAAGUCGAGCGAACAGACGAGGAGCUUGCUCCUCUGACGUUAGCGGCGGACGGGUGAGUAACACGUGGAUAACCUACCUAUAAGACUGGGAUAACUUCGGGAAACCGGAGCUAAUACCGGAUAAUAUAUUGAACCGCAUGGUUCAAUAGUGAAAGACGGUUUUGCUGUCACUUAUAGAUGGAUCCGCGCCGCAUUAGCUAGUUGGUAAGGUAACGGCUUACCAAGGCAACGAUGCGUAGCCGACCUGAGAGGGGGAUCGGCCACACUGAACUGAGACACGGUCCAGACUCCUACGGGAGGCAGCAGUAGGGAAUCUUCCGCAAUGGGCGAAAGCCUGACGGAGCAACGCCGCGUGAGUGAUGAAGGUCUUCGGAUCGUAAAACUCUGUUAUUAGGGAAGAACAAAUGUGUAAGUAACUAUGCACGUCUUGACGGUACCUAAUCAGAAAGCCACGGCUAACUACGUG